UACAGAGGGUGCGAGCGUUAAUCGGAAUUACUGGGCGUAAAGCGUGCGUAGACGGUUACAUAAGUCGGGUGUGAAAGCCCCGGGCUCAACCUGGGAAUUGCAUUCGAGACUGCGUAGCUAGGGUGCGGAAGAGGGAAGCGGAAUUUCGGGUGUAGCGGUGAAAUGCGUAGAUAUCCGAAGGAACAUCAGUGGCGAAAGCGGCUUCCUGGUCCAGCACCGACGUUCAGGCACGAAAGCGUGGGGAGCAAACAGG
rnacentral:rRNA from 1 species